CCUACGGGUGGCUGCAGUGGGGAAUAUUGGACAAUGGGCGGAAGCCUGAUCCAGCCAUGCCGCGUGUGUGAAGAAGGCCUUUUGGUUGUAAAGCACUUUAAGCGAGGAGGAGGCUACUAGUACUAAUACUACUGGAUAGUGGACGUUACUCGCAGAAUAAGCACCGGCUAACUCUGUGCCAGCAGCCGCGGUAAUACAGAGGGUGCGAGGGGCGAUAGGCGUGACUGGGCGUAUUGCGUGCGUGGACGGCAAAUCCCCGAGCUUAACUUGGGAAUUGCAUUCGAUACUGGGAAGCUAGAGUAUGGGAGAGGAUGGUAGAAUUCCAGGUGUAGCGGUGAAAUGCGUAGAGAUCUGGAGGAAUACCGAUGGCGAAGGCAGCCAUCUGGCCUAAUACUGACGCUGAGGUACGAAAGCAUGGGGAGCAAACAGGAUUAGAUACCCGGGUAGUC
rnacentral:rRNA from 1 species